rnacentral:rRNA from 1 species
AUUGAACGCUGUCGGCAGGCCUAACACAUGCAAGUCGAACGAGUGGCGGACGGGUGAGUAAUGUCUGGGAAACUGCCUGCUGGAGGGGGAUAACUACUGGAAACGGUAGCUAAUACCGCAUACCAUAAGAUGUGCCCAGAUGGGAUUAGCUUGGUGGUGGGGUAACGGCUCACCAAGGCCACGAUCCCUAGCUGGUCUGAUCGGAUUACCCGCACCACUGGAACUGAGUCACGGGCCAGACUCCGACGGGAGGCAGCAGUGGGGAAUAUUGCACAAUGGGCGCAAGCCUGAUGCAGCCAUGCCGCGUGUAGGAAGAAGGCCUUCGGGUUGUAAAGUACUUUCAGCGGGGAGGCGUUACCCGCAGAAGAAGCACCGGCUAACUCCGUGCCAGCAGCCGCGGUAAUAC